CGGCCCUGAGGACCGCCUCUCCAACGACGACAUCCCGGGCCACGUGUUCUUCAGGGAUCUGGACUGGGAGAGCGUCAGCUCCGGUUGCCAUGACGACCCGCCGUUCGACAUCAGCCGAGUUCUGCGGGAGCAGGCGCCGGACGAUGAGAUUCAGCGCAUUCCGUCGGCCUUCACCGGCUCGCCGUCCAGCAAGCGGCACAGGAAGGACAAACGGCCCAACUCGAGCGGCUAUGAUAAUCCGUCCAAGUAUAGGAACUACCACUACUGCAACAGCCAGUUCGGCUGGUAUGUCUCCAGUCUGGAGAGCUCACGGGGCCACGACAGCUCCGAGGCGCUGCCCGAGAACGUGCAAGUCGACGAUGACGACCCGCCGGCCGACGGCGACGGUGGUACGGCCUUCGACGACGUGCCCCGGCCUGCUGGCGUUCGAGAGCGCCGCCGCCGACGACUCGUGUCUCUCGUCGCCGCUCAGCCCCGACAGCUCGUUCGGUGAGGAGCUGGACGAGAGCGAGCCCGGGGAAGGGCCGGCGU